rnacentral:rRNA from 1 species
GAUGAACGCUGGCGGCGUGCCUAAUACAUGCAAGUCGAGCGAACAGACGAGGAGCUUGCUCCUCUGACGUUAGCGGCGGACGGGUGAGUAACACGUGGAUAACCUACCUAUAAGACUGGGAUAACUUCGGGAAACCGGAGCUAAUACCGGAUAAUAUAUUGAACCGCAUGGUUCAAUAGUGAAAGACGGUUUUGCUGUCACUUAUAGAUGGAUCCGCGCCGCAUUAGCUAGUUGGUAAGGUAACGGCUUACCAAGGCAACGAUGCGUAGCCGACCGGAGAGGGUGAUAGGCCACACUGGAACUGAGACACGGUCCAUACUACUAAGGGAGGCAGCAGUAGGGAAUCUUCCGCAAUGGGCGAAAGCCUGACGGAGCAACGCCGCGUGAGUGAUGAAGGUCUUCGGAUCGUAAAACUCUGUUAUUAGGGAAGAACAAAUGUGUAAGUAACUAUGCACGUCUUGACGGUACCUAAUCAGAAAGCCACGGCUAACUACGUG